rnacentral:rRNA from 1 species
GACGAACGCUGGCGGCGUGCCUAAUACAUGCAAGUCGAGCGGACUUUUAAAAGCUUGCUUUUAAAAGUCAGCGGCGGACGGGUGAGUAACACGUGGGCAACCUGCCUGUAAGACUGGGAUAACUUCGGGAAACCGGAGCUAAUACCGGAUACAUUCUUCUCUCGCAUGAGAGAAGAUGGAAAGACGGUUUCGGCUGUCACUUACAGAUGGGCCCGCGGCGCAUUAGCUAGUUGGUGGGGUAAUGGCCCACCAAGGCGACGAUGCGUAGCCGACCUGAGGGGGUGAUCGGCCAGACUGGGACUGAGACACGGCCCAGACUCCUACGGGAGGCAGCAGUAGGGAAUCUUCCGCAAUGGACGAAAGUCUGACGGAGCAACGCCGCGUGAACGAUGAAGGCUUUCGGGUCGUAAGUUCUGUUGUUAGGGAAGAACAAGUACCAGAGUAACUGCUGGUACCUUGACGGUACCUAACCAGAAAGCCACGGCUAACUACGUGCCAGCAGCCGCUGUAACAC